AUUAAAGAGGAAUACCAGUACAUGUAGCUUUUUGUUUUCUUCAGUUCUCUUUGAAAAUGUGCUGCAGCAGUGGUGCCACUGCAGUCAACAAUGCGCACAGAGGUUGGGUGCAAAAAUCCACGGUCACACAGCAUUGCACACCUACACGGACCCCGAUGAACAGGUUGCUCAGAGAAGGAAACUGGCAGGAGGGGGCAUUGCCCUGCUGGGCCCACCAUCAUUGCUCCCCAGCUGCCCAGGGUCUGUAGUCCCAGUGUCAGCCACGUUGCGUCCCCCCUGAACCCCACUGAUGGUGAAAAGAUCUGCCGAAUGCGUGCAGCCCCAAUGGAGGGAGUCUGACCCAGCGUGUCGCUGGGGCUGGGGGAACAAACAGGGCUCUGUGCUAGUGGAGGACACUUGGUGUCACAACAGUCAGGGCUAUUCAACAGAGACGAUCCUCUUACCAUCGCCUGAGAACAGAAUCAAAAUGAAUCCAUCCUGUGUCUCUCUGCAGUGAAAACAGGGGCAGAGGUCCGGUGAGUUCAUGCUGAAAUAAAUAAUGUUUUUCAACUCCUUUACCAACCAAAACAUCCAGCUAGCCUAAUCCCUUUCUUUUUUAAGACAGUGGCUUUUGCCUGCAACUUCAGGGUAUCGGUGAAAGGCUUGUUGUUCAUACAUCUCAGUGUUCACUAAAGGAGAUUCCCAUCAAGAAUGUCCAACAGAAGCUGAACAUUCCUACAUACAGUCUUCCACCGCAUGCUCAGCUUUCAGUGGUUUCACGGGAAUUUUAGAAGCCAAAAUGUAAGAAUGUAUAUCCCGGUUUAUUAAAGUGAUAAAGAACAAUUCAUUGGAGAACAGGUGCCAGGACCAUGCCCCAAAAUACCCAGGGAAUGCCCUCGGCCAGCUGCUCCUGGAUGUGUCUGCACCAAGGACUGCCAUGCGUUGGUCACACUGCAGGCAAUCGUCAGUGAGCUAAAUUGUGUAUGGCCACCUGCUUGGCACUGCUGCACAGGGAUCAGAGCAUACUAGUUUAGCCUACCUCUGUUUAUUGGCUAAAUAACUAGAUUUAUUGGUAUUUUUUGCUUCAGAAUUUUUAUUGCUGAUUUCAACAAAACUUGAAUUUUGACUGCUUACAAGAAAGUAUAACAAAAUUUGUGGGCAAAUAAUAAUAAUAAAAAAAAAGAGUCUAAUAGAAGAGUAGCUGGCUGUGAACAGAGCAAACUGUAGGGCAGUGCGUUGUUCAUGGGAAUAACACUGUGUAGUUUCAGAGCCUUCUGUUUCCAGAGCAACUUUGAAACGUUCCCAGUGACCAAGAGCUGAUAGAGAUGGCCUGGCCACUGCCUGGGGCAGCAGUGAUUUUCUGAGUGGAUGUGCAUCUAUAUCUUAAGAACACCAAAGCAAGGGGCACUGACCAGAUUGGACGAAUUCAUAGAUUACGUAUCAGGUCUCAAACACCACUUUUUAGGCCAAAACAUGUUGUUGCUGAACAGUGUCUGUUCUGUGAAUGAGAAGGGCGUUAUCAGUCAUCUCAUGUUCUGCAGUGAUGGGCAUAGCUUCAAAGCCUGGGAAGGCACAUGCAGCUUGAGGAGCAAUCAAACAAACAACACAGAUUUUCCUUUCAGAAGACAGAGCCAGAAACCAGGUUCUGAGUUCUCAGAAUAAUUAAUUGAGUGAUAUCAAUUAAUGGACUUCACCCUAGUUAGCUACUUUGGUGGGGCAAAGUCAUGAGAAAAUCCAAAAUCUACCUGCAUUAUUCAGCAGAUGAAGAGAUGUAUUAAAAGCAAACGAUCAAACAACAUGAGAAAGUAUAAAUCUUUACAGUUUGGAAAUCAUAAAAUCAUAGAAUAACCCACACUGGAAAGGACCCAUAAGGAUCACCAAGUCCAAACUCGACAAAAAAAUUCACAGCAAGAAGAAAUAUCAAGUAAUGGUAAUUUGCAGAACAUAAAGCUCAGUAGCCACAUUAAAUAACAGAUUAAUUCAGUCCUCAGCACAACACAGUUCUGAAGAAAAGACUUUCUGCGUAGAACACUUGUGAGCACCAACGCAGGAAGCCAAUGGGAGUUAUGUAUUGUCAUGCUACAUUACGUCAGUGGUACCCUCCUGGGAUGCUGGAGUUCCAGUUUUCAGGUCUGAGUGUACAGGGGAAAAAAAGCAAGAAAAAGUAGCUAAAAUGACUCAAGCAUGUAAGAAUGGAUCUUUAUCAAAUUGAAGGCACAAAUCAGGGCUGAAAAUCAAGUAGCCAUACUUUCCCAAUUUCUCUUGAAGCUGCAGAAGUGAAUCUCCUACCUUUUCAUGACAAAAGAGGAUGAUGGCCCAUUCUGUUUGCCUGUAGGGUUAUUCAGAAUCCCCUGGGGCAUCUGGUUUAUGACACAGGCAAUGACUUCUGGGGCUGCCCUUGUGUUGCUGCUGAUCCAAACCUGACAGCCCCCCUCAGCAAAGGGGGAAGACAGCUUGUGCUAGCACUGCCCAGCCCUAGGCACUGAGUUCACUCCUCUUCCCAGGCUGUUGAUCUUCAUCUCAUAUGGGCUGUGGCUGAUGCCAGAUGGACUUAUUCUUGAUAUCACUCUUUGUCUGAGUGGAUCGUGGCAUUGCUAGCAGACUAGGAAAGGAAGUUUUAUGGCCCUGUAGUUAAACAGUGGAGUUGUGACUUGAGAAGGACCAGUCCCACUCCUGCCUGUAUCACGGAUCUGCUGUUCACAUUUGGGUGAUAUUUCUUAAUUCUGUCCCAGAGGAGCAGCGAGUAGACAUGAUUGCAUUGCUAUUUGGUUGUAAAUAUAACUUGCUAAAUACAACACGUUCUUGAAAAUCAGCCCUUUUCAGAUUUCAGCCACCUGUUAUUUGAGCUCAGGAAGGAGAAACGUGUGGUUUGACAGAUACUCUCCCCGACAAGAGAAGUCAAGCUGUUUGAGAAUAAAGGUACUCUUCAAAUUGCCACUUGCAUGAACCCCAGCUGCAUUUUUGUUCUUCAAUUUUAUCUGUAGGAAUUUGAAAACACGGAAUAAACUCAGCAAGCAAGUUAGAGAAAAGGAGGGUGAGAGGAGGUAUUUCCAGCCUAACCUUCCAUUAGCACUUUUAGUGCUUAUCUUUCAGAUCAGAGGACAGAGGAGAGCUUAUGUUAGGCAUAUGCCCAUCUGCACCGGUACUUAUUAUGGCUCAGCUACGGUUCCAUUGGAUUUUGAAAGAGCAAUAUUUUCAUGACCUCUCCCUCUGACUGCUACAGUGGUGGAUUCCAUAAAUAAGGAGCUUUCUCUUUGAGUCCUUUCAAAUAUGCUCAUCAGUCCUUCCUCCUUUAGUACAACAAGAGAGACUUGAGUUAAUCAAUUACAAUGACCUUUCUCUUCCCUUUCCUUUCCCUCCCUUUCCGUCUCUUCCUACCUAAUCUAACUCAUUCUGGUUGUGGUUCCCAAGCAUUCUACCAAUACCCUGCAUUAUGGAUUUUUUAUGUGCACAGAAGUACAAGAUUUUACUUUAUGCCACACAUUUGGAAAGAAAAAAAAUCUUCAUUGGGAAUCAAAAUCAGAGGUGAAUUCAAUAUCAGAGCUGGGGGAGGAAGCUUUCUCUUCUUUUCUGCAC
ensembl:lncRNA